rnacentral:lncRNA from 1 species
AGAUACUCAGAGGAAAAAAAAAAAAGCCGAGGCUGCUUCAAAAGCAAAAUAAACAAACAGAACCAGAGGGUAUAAGUCCCUUUGCUUCAAAGAAAGCCAAACAGAGAAAACUAAGCCAGUCUCCUUAGGGAAAACAGCUGCCCAUCAACCAAGGAGGAGUUUAU